UUUUUGUUUUACUACGAAAUCCUCUUUAACAUGUAUUACCUAACCAUUUGACUUAUUAUAGUGUAUUAUGCCACAUAUUUGUUCAUGGUUUCAUGAUUAAACUGACCCACAUACUUUAAAGCCUCAGAUAAAUGUCCACUUGCAAACAAACGGGCUUCAGAAAAUAGUGUAGUUUUAUAAACUAAUUUUCAUCAAUCAAUAAUUAAGUCAACAUUUAUAUUUUAUUAAGCGUUGGUAAAUGUAUUCAAAAUUACAAGUAGUCAGGGGCAUGAGGAUAGACCACGUUUUUUUUACUAUAUGUCUAUAUAAAUCCGCCAUCUUGGUGAGGACCGAUCAGCAGACGAUAGUUUUUUUACAUGUGGAUAAUUCGAGUCUAGCAGAGGAGACGUUUUCUAUACUCGUAGCGUCCACUGCCGGAUUAAACCAGUUUACGUAUUUUAAUCGUUGUGCAAUCGUUACCUAUACCAGCUAACUAUUUCAAAGCGUUGACACCUUAUUAUUCAAUAUAAAUCGGCCAUUUUGAAAGAAGAGUGCAUUUUUGGAACCGCUAGGGCGUAACGCUAUGGGAUUACAAACGAUAUUUGCGAAUUUGGUUUCAAUAGUCAUCAUACAUUUUAUUUACAUACAACAAAUGUGUUUACAUAAAGCAGAUGCUGUUCAAAUUCAAAUACUUUUUAUAUACAUGUGCUACACAGUAUAUUGUCAGGUUGUAUAAAUCAAUACAUGCUAAAAUAUACCUACCACAAAACACGCGUUAGUCAUAGCAAAAUGGUGUGAAAUAAAACAUAUAGUGAAUAUUGCAUACAUAUUCAUGGUAUCGACUCAUGAUCGUUGUAAGGAAGACAUGGCAUAUUAACGAUUUGUACCAACAUUUAUAGUCCAUAGGGUACUUUUUGGAAAUCAUUCGUGAUGAAGCGCUUGUCGAAAACAAUUAUAUAAUCCUUUGCUUCACUUUUUGUUACAAUACAGCAUUUUUCAGGGUUUCGUACAAUUUUGUUUUCAUCGACGAGAGUGACUGAGUCAAUCUUGGUUCCGCACGUGACCAUUGACGGUGUUUCAUCAAUGAGGUCACCUAAAUAGUCGCCAUGAGGAGGUUCCUAGUAUCCAGGACGAGUGGUAUAGACAACUGAAUCAGUGUCACAGUACAAAACACGUUUUCCUAAAGGCUUCAAAUAACAGUGCAACUUGAGUCUUGCGUGGGCUGGGGUUUAUGCGACAAUGACCACAUUGGUUCUAGAAGCAGUUUCAAUAAAGUCAUGGCCAUGAAUCUAAUCUUAUUGUACUGCCUGGUCAUUUACGAAUCGAACGUUUUUUUUUUGUUUUUUUUUUUUAUCUGAUGUCAUAUUAUCCAUAAACAAAGCAGGAUCGUCAGUGUACGGCGUGUGCGUAAGAUUGGAGCGUUGUCCGAAUUUUCCCCAGAAUGAGUUUAUCAUCAGUUUCGCUAGGGACCUCAAACCUGGAUUUUGUUGUAUUUUGUCAAAAUCAAGACAGAUCCCUUCUUUUUCAAAAUAUUGCUGAAUGUACGUCUGUUUCGAUUCCUCAUAAACGCACCAGUUGGGCCACCCGCUGGCUUCUUGCUUGACCUUUAAAAAUGUGUUGACGUAUUCGGUGAAAAAGCCGCCUUUUUUUAGACUUUUGUCGCAUUGUGAUAUUUCACUGACUUCGUAAGUUUUAAUUAUUUUAUUGAACUGGUGGUCACGAUACCAGGUGUUAAAUUUUGCUCGGCUUUUGGUUUUCAUAUUGUCAUAGUUGUAGUACUUUAUAUCAGAAAGGUUCGCAAUUACGGCAUGUUGAUUUCAUUCACGAUUGAACAGGUGUGGAAAAUAUUAUUUGGCUAUUUCAGUUUCUCCAAAGGCAUUUGGCAUGUCAGACAAAACCAUUGGUAUAAAGUUAAUUGAAUCAAUCAUUCUUAUCCUACAUGAUGGCACCGUGAUAGACAUGUACUUCGAUCCUGUUGUGAUGACUUCCGGAAGUAUGGCAUUCUCAUGAAGCUCCACAACACGACUUUUCUCAACUGGUACACUUGUUGUCGACACCCUGGAGGUAAACCGAUUCACACUCUAAAGAGAAUCUUGGGUGCAUUCAAAAUCGAAGAUAAUGUACUUUUUGUCUCUUGAUUUCACUUUGCCAGCCAUAUUAUUGGGGUCUACUGCCUGUUGCAUGUAACACUGAUGACCUUCUGCGAAAAACUCGUUUUACAGUAAGUCUCUCAACACACAUGAUCGCGUGUAUGUUUUGACUGAUUUAUAAAUUGGUUUAAUAGAUAACUACAUUCUGCCACUCAGAAACAGUGAAUUACAUACAAAAAUUAUGCCUCAGAUAGAUAAACUGAUCUCUAAAGGAUAUAGUACCACUUCAGCCGUGACAAAAACGUUAAGAACGCACAAGAACUCUUUUCAAGGUUUAUUUGAUAUGGAAUUUACCGACGAUGAAGAGGAGGAAUCUGAUGGUGACGUCAGUAGAGGAAACAAAAAAUGUAUUAAUUGAUACUAGUUGCUUGAAGUUGUUUAUUCAUGUUGUGAACUCUGAACAGUGAACAUGGCUCAUUGGAAAUAUUAUUUAAAACAAUUUAUUAUGACCCCAAACACGCUGCGGGGUUUGCAGAACGACAGAAAUUGUAUGAAGUGGUCGAUGAAGAAGGAAAAUUUAACAUUGGCAUGCAUAGGAUACGACAAUGCUUGCAUGAUCAAGAAUCCUGCAGUCUACACAAGCCAACUAGAAGGCGAUCUCUGAGAAAUCACAUCAUAAGCUCGGGAAAAGACGAAAUGUGGAUGGCUGACUUAAUCGAUAUUGAAGUUUGCGGGCUGGAAUCAAGGUUACAAGUACAUCCUGUUGGUGAUUGACACUUUCUCGAAGUACGUGUGGUUACAACCGCUAAAAUACAAAACUGGCGAAGAAGUGGCGCAAGCCUUUUAAAACAUCUUUGCAACGACUAGUCGCUCUCCGGUCAAGUUGAUAACUGAUAAAGGUCAGGAAUUUAAGGCCAGGAAAGUCCAAGACCUAAUGUUGAAUAAGAAAUCCAUUAUUUCCCGACUCAAAACGAAACUAAGACGUCUACAUCAGAGAGGGCCACCUUAACCACCAAGACUCGUCUCAUGCGCUAUUUUUCAUCCAUGGAAACGGCAACAUUUCUACCCGUGCUACAAGAUAUUGCUGACAAUUAUAACAAGACCUAUCAUCGAAAUAUUUGAAUGCGACCUGUUGACGUUAAAGACGUGAAUAAAGAAGAGGUGCGAUUGGCAACAUACUUUGCACACAAUCCAAAGAACAUCAAACAAGUCACAAAACUGAUACCGUUCAAACUAAAAGUGAGUGAUUAUGUCCGCAUCAGUCAUCUAAAAACUGUGUUUACUCGAGCGUAUGAUGAGACAUACUCAGGUGAAUGGUUUAAAGUACACAAACGCUAUCACAGAGGUACAUUACCGAUAUACGAGAUUUACAAAAUGAAGAUAUUAAAGGAACGUUUGAUCAAAGUGAGCUCCAGAGAACAGAAUAUAAUCUAAACAGUGCAUUCAAAAUCGAGAAGAUAUUGAAAACAAAAGGCAAAGGAGCAAAUAAACAGUAUUUUGUGAAAUGGAAAUAUUAUCCAAAGAAGUUUAACAAAUAG